rnacentral:rRNA from 1 species
GACGAACGCUGGCGGCGUGCUUAACACAUGCAAGUCGAACGGAAAGGCCCUGCUUUUGUGGGGUGCUCGAGUGGCGAACGGGUGAGUAACACGUGAGUAACCUGCCCUUGACUUUGGGAUAACUUCAGGAAACUGGGGCUAAUACCGGAUAGGAGCUCCUGCUGCAUGGUGGGGGUUGGAAAGUUUCGGCGGUUGGGGAUGGACUCGCGGCUUAUCAGCUUGUUGGUGGGGUAGUGGCUUACCAAGGCUGUGACGGGUAGCCGGCCUGCGAGGGUGACCGGCCACAUUGGGACUGAGAUACGGCCCAGACUCGUACGGGAGGCAGCAGUGGGGAAUAGUGCACAAUGGGCGGAAGCCUGAUGCAGCAACGCCGCGUGCGGGAUGACGGCCUUCGGGUUGUAAACCGCUUUCGCCUGUGACGAAGCGUGAGUGACGGUAAUGGGUAAAGAAGCACCGGCUAACUACGUG